GAUGAACGCUGGCGGCGUGCCUAAUACAUGCAAGUCGAGCGAACAGACGAGGAGCUUGCUCCUCUGACGUUAGCGGCGGACGGGUGAGUAACACGUGGAUAACCUACCUAUAAGACUGGGAUAACUUCGGGAAACCGGCGCUAAUACCGGAUAAUAUGUUGAAUCGUAUGGUUCAACAGUGAAAGACGGUCUUGCUGGCACUUAUAGAUGGAUCCGCGCCGCAUUAGCUAGUUGGUAAGGUAACGGGUUACCAAGGCAACGAUGCGUAGCCGACCUGAGAGGGUGAUCGGCCACACUGGAACUGAGACACGGUCCAGACUCCUACGGGAGGCAGCAGUAGGGAAUCGUCCGCAAUGGGCGGAAGCCUGACGGAGCAACGCCGCGGGAGUGAAGAAGGUCUUCGGAUCGUAAAACUCUGUUAUUAGGGAAUAACAAAUGUGUAAGUAACUAUGCACGUCUUGACGGUACCUGGUCAGAAAGCCACGGCUAACUACGUG
rnacentral:rRNA from 1 species